rnacentral:rRNA from 1 species
UCAAGCGAACAAGUGCAUGUGGUGGAUGCCUUGGCGAUCACAGGCGAUGAAGGACGCGGUAGCCUGCGAAAAGCUUCGGGGAGCUGGCAAACGAGCUUUGAUCCGGAGAUGUCCGAAUGGGGAAACCCGGCCCGUAUGGGUCAUCCCUUGCUGAAUACAUAGGCAAGGGAAGCGAACGCGGCGAACUGAAACAUCUAAGUAGCUGCAGGAACAGAAAUCAACCGAGAUUCCCAAAGUAGUGGCGAACGAAAUGGGAAGAGCCUUGUACUCUUUAGCAGUGGUGUUAGCAGAACGGGAUGGAAAGCCCGGCCAUAGCAGGUGAUAGCCCUGUAUGCGAAAACACGAUUGUGGAACUAGGUGUACGACAAGUAGGGCGGGACACGUGAAAUCCUGUCUGAAGAUGGGGGGACCAUCCUCCAAGGCUAAAUACUCGUGAUCGACCGAUAGUGAACCAGUACCGUGAGGGAAAGGCGAAAAGAACCCCGGGAGGGGAGUGAAAUAGAUCCUGAAACCGCAUGCAUACAAACAGUCGGAGCCCUUUCGGGGGUGACGGCGUACCUUUUGUAUAAUGGGUCAGCGACUUACAUUCAGUGGCAAGCUUAACCGAUUAGGGAAGGCGUAGCGAAAGCGAGUCCGAACAGGGCGUUGAGUCGCUGGGUGUAGACCCGAAACCAGAUGAUCUAUCCAUGGCCAGGUUGAAGGUGCGGUAACACGUACUGGAGGACCGAACCCACUAACGUUGAAAAGUUAGGGGAUGAGCUGUGGAUAGGGGUGAAAGGCUAAACAAAUCUGGAAAUAGCUGGUUCUCUCCGAAAACUAUUUAGGUAGUGCCUCGUGUCUCACCUUCGGGGGUAGAGCACUGUCAUGGUUGGGGGGUCUAUUGCUGAUUACCCCGCCAUAGCAAACUCCGAAUACCGAAGAGUGCAAUCACGGGAGACAGACAUCGGGUGCUAACGUCCGGUGUCAAGAGGGAAACAACCCAGACCGCCAGCUAAGGUCCCCAAGAUUGGCUAAGUGGGAAACGAAGUGGGAAGGCUAAAACAGUCAGGAGGUUGGCUUAGAAGCAGCCACCCUUUAAAGAAAGCGUAAUAGCUCACUGAUCGAGUCGUCCUGCGCGGAAGAUGUAACGGGGCUAAGCCAGUCACCGAAGCUGCGGACGCACGCAAGUGCGUGGUAGGAGAGCGUUCUGUAAGCCUGUGAAGGUGUCUUGUAAAGGAUGCUGGAGGUAUCAGAAGUGCGAAUGCUGACAUGAGUAGCGAUAAAGGGGGUGAAAGGCCCCCUCGCCGUAAGCCCAAGGUUUCCUACGCAACGUUCAUCGGCGUAGGGUGAGUCGGCCCCUAAGGCGAGGCAGAGAUGCGUAGCUGAUGGGAAGCAGGUUAAUAUUCCUGCACCGUCGUAUGAUGCGAUGGGGGGACGGAUCGCGGAAGGUUGUCCGGGUGUUGGAAGUCCCGGUCCCUGCAUUGGAGAAGGCGCUCAGGCAAAUCCGGGCGCGGAAUUCAAGGAUGUGGGGCGAGCGGCCUAGUGCUGCGAAGCAAUUGGAAGUGGUUCCAAGAAAAGCCUCUAAGCUUCAGUCAUACGAGACCGUACCGCAAACCGACACAGGUGGGCGAGAUGAGUAUUCUAAGGCGCUUGAGAGAACUCGGGAGAAGGAACUCGGCAAAUUGGUACCGUAACUUCGGGAUAAGGUACGCCCUGGUAGCUUGACUGGCCUGCGCCAGAAGGGUGAAGGGGUUGCAAUAAAAUGGUGGCUGCGACUGUUUAAUAAAAACACAGCACUCUGCAAACACGAAAGUGGACGUAUAGGGUGUGACGCCUGCCCGGUGCCGGAAGAUUAAAUGAUGGGGUGCAAGCUCUUGAUUGAAGUCCCGGUAAACGGCGGCCGUAACUAUAACGGUCCUAAGGUAGCGAAAUUCCUUGUCGGGUAAGUUCCGACCUGCACGAAUGGCGUAACGAUGGCCACACUGUCUCCUCCCGAGACUCAGCGAAGUUGAAGUGUUUGUGAUGAUGCAAUCUCCCCGCGGCUAGACGGAAAGACCCCAUGAACCUUUACUGUAGCUUUGCAUUGGACUUUGAACCGAUCUGUGUAGGAUAGGUGGGAGGCUUUGAAGCGUGGACGCUAGUUCACGUGGAGCCGUCCUUGAAAUACCACCCUGGUUUGUUUGAGGUUCUAACCUUGGCCCGUGAAUCCGGGUCGGGGACAGUGCAUGGUAGGCAGUUUGACUGGGGCGGUCUCCUCCCAAAGUGUAACGGAGGAGUUCGAAGGUACGCUUGGUACGGUCGGACAUCGUACCUAAAGUGCAAUGGCAAAAGCGUGCUUAACUGCGAGACCGACAAGUCGAGCAGGUGCGAAAGCAGGACAUAGUGAUCCGGUGGUUCUGAAUGGAAGGGCCAUCGCUCAACGGAUAAAAGGUACUCUGGGGAUAACAGGCUGAUACCGCCCAAGAGUUCAUAUCGACGGCGGUGUUUGGCACCUCGAUGUCGGCUCAUCUCAUCCUGGGGCUGUAGCCGGUCCCAAGGGUAUGGCUGUUCGCCAUUUAAAGAGGUACGUGAGCUGGGUUUAAAACGUCGUGAGACAGUUUGGUCCCUAUCUGCCGUGGGCGUUGGAAUCUUGACGGGGGCUGCUCCUAGUACGAGAGGACCGGAGUGGACGUACCGCUGGUGUACCUGUUGUCUCGCCAGAGGCAUCGCAGGGUAGCUAUGUACGGAAGAGAUAACCGCUGAAAGCAUCUAAGCGGGAAACUCGCCUGAAGAUGAGGAUUCCCUGGAGGCUUGACCUCCUUGAAGGGUCGUUCGAGACCAGGACGUUGAUAGGCUGGGUGUGGAAGCGCAGUAAUGCGUUAAGCUAACCAGUACUAAUUGCCCGUAAGGCUUGAUCCU